GUAAUAGCUCACUGGUCGAGUCGGCCUGCGCGGAAGAUGUAACGGGGCUAAACCAUGCACCGAAGCUGCGGCAGCGACGCUGAUGCGUUGUUGGGUAGGGGAGCGUUCUGUAAGCCUGUGAAGGUGACCUGUGAGGGUUGCUGGAGGUAUCAGAAGUGCGAAUGCUGACAUAAGUAACGAUAAAGCGGGUGAAAAGCCCGCUCGCCGGAAGACCAAGGGUUCCUGUCCAACGUUAAUCGGGGCAGGGUGAGUCGACCCCUAAGGCGAGGCCGAAAGGCGUAGUCGAUGGGAAACGGGUUAAUAUUCCCGUACUUGGUGUUACUGCGAAGGGGGGACGGAGAAGGCUAUGUUGGCCGGGCGACGGUUGUCCCGGUUUAAGCGUGUAGGUGUGUGUUCCAGGUAAAUCCGGUUCACUUUAACACUGAGGCGUGACGACGAGGCACUACGGUGCUGAAGCAACAAAUGCCCUGCUUCCAGGAAAAGCCUCUAAGCAUCAGGUAACACGAAAUCGUACCCCAAACCGACACAGGUGGUCAGGUAGAGAAUACCAAGGCGCUUGAGAGAACUCGGGUGAAGGAACUAGGCAAAAUGGUGCCGUAACUUCGGGAGAAGGCACGCUGACACGUAGGUGAAGUGAUUUACUCAUGGAGCUGAAGUCAGUCGAAGAUACCAGCUGGCUGCAACUGUUUAUUAAAAACACAGCACUGUGCAAACACGAAAGUGGACGUAUACGGUGUGACGCCUGCCCGGUGCCGGAAGGUUAAUUGAUGGGGUCAGCGCAAGCGAAGCUCCUGAUCGAAGCCCCGGUAAACGGCGGCCGUAACUAUAACGGUCCUAAGGUAGCGAAAUUCCUUGUC
rnacentral:rRNA from 1 species